AAACGGACAAACUAGACACACAACAUUGAAUGCCCACCCAGCUCACGCCCUGACCAACACUAAAACAAGGAAAACACACAAGAAAUAUGGUCAGAACGUGACAAAAACACUCAGCUAGAUCGUUGGUGUUCAGACAGAGGUACCAGUAAUGCUGUUAAGUUGCCCAUCAGUCACAUCAUGCUCUUUGUGACACUGACCAUCAUGGCUGCCAUAGUCACUAUUCACACAAGGAGGAUCCGCCCACCCAAGGCUCUGCCCACACAAGCAGAAGAAGCCUCUGGUAUGGAGAUUCAUGUCCUGGAGGAAUGACCCCUUGUUCCUCACUCUUCUCCCUGUGCUGGACUAAGACUUUCAAACUGUCUGUAGCUUUAUUGAUUCAUUAAGGGCAGUAUAAAUGUUUUUUUCAAAAGCCGACGUUAAUCUAUUUUAGUGCAUAGUGUGGAAGAUGUAUUAAUUUGUAGUUGUGUUCUAAUAUUUUAGUAUAUUUUUAUACACCUCUAUGUAGAAGGGAUUCAAAUAUCAGCAAACCUUGGUUGAUGUUUUACAUUUUUUCUGUCCAUUGUGAAUGACGUCAGCAUGGAGAAAUUCCUUGGUUUUGUUUAAUUAAUAAGUUGUGUCCGAAGCAGACUUAAAAUGAGCACAAUGCUUCUUCUAAAAUGUACAUUAAUUACUAAAACUGUUUUUAAAUAAACUAAU